UGGGGAAUUUUGGACAAUGGGCGAAAGCCUGAUCCAGCAAUGCCGCGUGUGUGAAGAAGGCCUUCGGGUUGUAAAGCACUUUUGUCCGGAAAGAAAUCCUUGGCUCUAAUACAGUCGGGGGAUGACGGUACCGGAAGAAUAAGCACCGGCUAACUACGUGCCAGCAGCCGCGGUAAUACGUAGGGUGCAAGCGUUAAUCGGAAUUACUGGGCGUAAAGCGUGCGCAGGCGGUUUGCUAAGACCGAUGUGAAAUCCCCGGGCUCAACCUGGGAACUGCAUUGGUGACUGGCAGGCUAGAGUAUGGCAGAGGGGGGUAGAAUUCCACGUGUAGCAGUGAAAUGCGUAGAGAUGUGGAGGAAUACCGAUGGCGAAGGCAGCCCCCUGGGCCAAUACUGACGCUCAUGCACGAAAAGCGUGGGGAGCAAACAGGAUUAGAUACCCUGGUAGUCCACGCCCUAAACGAUGUCAACUAGUUGUGGGGAUUCAUUUCCUUAGUAACGUAGCUAACGCGUGAAGUUGACCGCCU
rnacentral:rRNA from 1 species